GUAAACAAGACUGUACUAUGUUGCCGCACAGAUCGCUCAGAAAGGAUUCAUCUUUCUCUCCUUUGAAAUGAUGGCAAACCUGCUAGGGGCUGAACAAACCGCAUCCGGAGAGGAAAUGAUAAAGCCCAGAGCAGCGGUGACAAUAACCAUGGUGAUAAUCUUGCAAUUUGGAGGUCGUAAAUAAGAGGUGUGUUUACUUUGGAAUUGCAACCCAAAAAGAGAAAGCCACAAUGACAACAGCAAAGAGGCAGCCUUCUCUUCUGGGCACAUCUAUAAAGAAGAGACGGGGAAGGAACCGUUUCCCAGGGGCUGUAGACAUCUCUACCCUGUCCAUCCCCUACAACCUACACCCACAUGUGAGGAUCAGUCAUCAGAUGCCCAUGCCAUGCCUGCCGUUCACAUGGUGGCAGUCCCCUGAGCCACACACACAGAGACUGUUCUGGGAGGGGACAGCAUGAAAAUCUCUGAGGGGAUGGUGUUCUCACAGACAUGCCGAGCACCCAGGACCCGCAAGGACAGGCGUGUGCGGGGAGCUGGCUCCUUCAUGCCAACACCUGGGCUGGUGGAGGCAACCAGAGCUCCCAGCCCUUUUCCAGCAGAUCUCCAUCCUGCAGGACCGGCUACUCCAUCCUCACCACCUCCUCAAGGGCACGACUGCUUGGAGCCAGGGGAGAAACCGCCUAAAAAUCUCCUUAAGAAUCCUAAAACUCCCUCGCUUGAAAGUUGUGGGCCCCUGCCCCCAUAUUUUUUAAUCUGGCUUAGGAACCAAUGCCUCCAGAUGUCUAUUCUGGAAAUGUCCUUUGGGGUGGGGACCAGGGGAAGCAAGUGAGGUACCCCAGAAGCAGAAUCAGAGGAGGUGCUCACUCUCGGUGAGGGAAGGACAGAGUUGUGACCCUGAGAUGGAGGUCCCCUAAGUCUCUCACCCUGGGCUCCUAACCUCGUCUCUACUCUGGUGUUGUCCAGAUCCCGCCAGGCCCAUUAGCGGGUGUCUGAGGGUGAGGGGUUUGAUGGCAAGGCUAGACGUUUAUCUUCUCCUCCUCAAGGGUUCAGAGGAAGCCCACAGAACAGGAGAGCCACUCAGUUUCUUAAAAAAAUGAAUGCAAUUACCAGACAACCCAGCGAUUGCACUCUUGGGCUUUUGUCCCAAGGGCAUGAAGUCCCAGAUGUCCUUCAGGGGGUGAAUGGCGAAAGAAAGGGAGGUACAUCCGUCCCCUGGACUGCCACUAGAUGGUAAAAGAAACGAAGCAUGGUUGCAUGCAACAUCUAGAACGGUGGGUCUCCAGGGAAAUACACCGAGCUGGAACCCAUCCUAAAAUGUUGCGUACUCUAUGAUUCCAUUUACAAAACAUUGUUGAAGUGACUAACUCACAGAAAUUGCAGAGAUUAGGGGAUGCCAGCAUUGGGAGUUGGGGGUUGGGAGGGGCCAGCUGUAGUCAUAACAGGGUCACAUGUGGGGCCCUAGUGGUGUUGGAACCACUGAGUAUCUUGACUGUGGCAAUGGACACCUGAGCUUGCAUGUGUGAUUAAGGUCUGUGGAACCAAAUGCACAAACACGAGUGCAAGUGAAACUGGGAAUUGGAAAUAAAACCUAUGUUUGGGAUCAA